CGGAGUGGCUGCGGCAAACGCUCUUCGUUCGGCGAAGGGAGGAAAGUCCGGACUCCACAGGGCAGUGUGCCUCCUAACAGGAGGGAGGGGUGACCCUACGGAAAGUGCAACAGAGAGCAGACCGCCGAUGGCCUUUUCAGGCACAGGCAAGGGUGAAACGGUGGAGUAAGAGCCCACCAGAUCCGGUGGUAACAUCGGAUGCUUGGUAAACCCCACACGGAGCAAGGCCAAAUAGGAAUGCGCCACCGGCUGGCCCGGCCGCUGCAUUCGGGUAGGCCGCUUGAGCUGCGACGUGAGCCACAGCCCAGAUGAAUGUUUGCCCGUUCCCGAAAGGGAAUGAACAGAAUCCGGCUUACACGCCACUUCGGUUU
rnacentral:RNase_P_RNA from 1 species